UAAGAGCUGCUUGUUUUCAGCAUGCUCUGUUUCGGCUUGUUUGGGUUACUGCUGAAGAUAAGGGAUGAUGUGGAAUGUGUGCCAUCUAAUUAGUAGGAGGUUUCCUUGCUGAGGGACAAUAAGGCUGGUGUUUGUUUUUUAUUGUUUUGGCGGGAGAUGAAGAGAGAAGACGCUGGGGAGAACUGGUCGUAAGAUACAAUCUGGUGGGAGACCCGUUUGUUUGAGAUGGAUUGCGAGCGACGUUCGGAAGUUUUACAGUUUUGGUCAUCCUGUUAGAGGAAGGACGUUGUCAAGCUGGAAAGGGUGCAGAAGAGACCUCUGAAGAUGCUGCCUGGACUAAAGGGCCUGAGUAUCAGCAGUAGGGUACCGUGCACAAUCCUGAUUUGAUGGAGACAGACGUGAGAGCACGGAGGAACAUCUGGAGAAACUUCUGAAAUACCUUCUUCGCUGCUGCCGCUACUCUGUGAUCCAGAAUCUCUGGAGGAGAAGGCUCCGAGUCCUUGGCUUUGCUUGUAGCUCGGCAGCCGGGGCGGGGUUGAAGUGCUUGGCAGAGAUGGUGCUCGGUGCUCAGUGUCGGAGGGCUGGUCGGAGGCUCGAAGUUUGCUGAUGGACUCAGAGUCGGCUGUGGCCGGGUGCUUCCAAUGCAUCGGCAGUUGUCGGCGCCUGGAGGUUUAUGGCAGGGAGAGUUUCCCCCUUUUGCUGCCUGCUAUUGGGACUAUCGGGAGUCACUCGGAACUUUGAGACUUUUUUUUACCGUGCCCAUGGGCUGCUCUUUAUCAAAUUAUGGCAUUGCUUUGCACUGCUGUAACUAUAUGCUAUAAUUAUGUGGUCUUGUCAGUGUUAGUCUUUGGUUUGUCCUGUUUUUUUUGUGAUAUCACUCUGGAGGAACAUUGUAUUAUUUCUUAAUGCAUGCAUUUCUAACUGACAAUAAACGAGGACUGAGUGUCCUCAUAAUCU